UGGGGGGGGGGGUAACCAAAGGGGAUGUCCUGUUUUCACCAGAGACACAGCGCGAAGGGAAAACUUAGACAUUGGAAGGAGCGGGAAUAAACACCUAAGGAGCGACGUGCAGAUCGGACGCUCCAACUUGGGGAUCCCGAGGCGGCCCGGGCGACAGGAGGUAAAUACAAGAACACUGAACAUUCAGUAAAAACAGGACCCCUUUAUAAGGACUUUAUUCACCAUAGAUCUGUAUUGCAGCUGCUGAUCAUAUUUCAUGGAGCUGUUAAAGCACUUAAAACCUAAAAUUAG
rnacentral:lncRNA from 1 species